GAUGAACGCUGGCGGCGUGCCUAACACAUGCAAGUCGAGCGAGAAUUUAUUAAUUGAUCCCUUCGGGAAGCGUUUAAUUAAGUUAGUGGCGGACGGGUGAGUAACGCGUGAGCAACCUGCCUAUCAGUGGGGAAUAACGUUUGGAAACGAACGCUAAUACCGCAUAACGUAUUCUGAUCGCAUGAUUAGAAUACCAAAGAUUUAUUGCUGAUAGAUGGGCUCGCGUCUGAUUAGGUAGUUGGUAAGGUAACGGCUUACCAAGCCGACGAUCAGUAGCCGGACUGAGAGGUUGAACGGCCACAUUGGAACUGAGAAACGGUCCAGACUCCUACGGGAGGCAGCAGUGGGGAAUAUUGGGCAAUGGGGGAAACCCUGACCCAGCGACGCCGCGUGAGGGAAGACGGUCUUCGGAUUGUAAACCUCUUUCAGCAGGGAAGAAGCAAGUGACGGUACCUGCAGAAGAAGUCACGGCUAACUACGUG
rnacentral:rRNA from 1 species